UUAUCCUUUUGACAUCAAUAAUCAUAAGGUAGAUCACAGAUUUCCCUCACAGCUUAGAAAUGGCAUAAGAAGUUAAGUUUGGCCUAACAGGGAGUUUGAGGUCUUCCCAAUCUUCAUCAUCAAGUGGUGCAAAGUAAGAGUCAACCAUCUGUUUGCUCACAAGCUCCAGUUUUGAAGGUUCCCACUAAAACAACGAAACCGAAAGAACGAAGAACAUGUCAAUAGAGAUAGAAUAAUACAUAAUGUCAGUCAAGCAUUGAUAGCAAUAAAACAAUUUUGGGAUGAAGGGAGAAAAAAAUCUUGAAAAUCAAAAUAAAAUGAACCUCUAACGGGACGAAGUGGGUUGCAAGACCACAUGCAAGCAUUUCAGCACCAUCCAAUCUCGCACCUGUAAGACCCACAUAUUCCCCUGGCACAAUAUGAACUACAAUAUCAAAAUAGGGUUCAACAUUCAACUUAAAUUCCCCAUGAAUAUGAUAAGCACCCAAAAUGUUACAGAUAUAUGAUGAAACGGGAUCAGGAGAAAACGCUCAAAAGUGUGAGAACGAUGGGAACGCUUCCUGGCCUAACACGUGUCCCGCCGCUUAGAAAAGGGCGGAGGGGCUUUUUUGUCCUUUCUUCUUUUCUUUUCCAGUUUCGCUUUUUCCUAAUAUUGUUGGUUUUUGAGAUUUUUGGCGUUAAGCAAAUUCAAUGUUUUAAAUGGCGUUUUAAUGGUUUCAUUGUAUUAACAUUUUGGUGUUUAUGGCGUUUAUUCAAAUUCGUAUAUCAUUGUCUAUUUGAAUGGGGUUUUCCAAGGCGUUUUAAACAAGAUGGCCCAUUGUUCUAUUAUUUUUCAUAAACAUUUUGGCGUUUGUGUUAUCUUGGCGUUUUUCUAUUGGUAUAUUUUAUUUCAACCACAGAAAAAAAAAUACAAGCGAAUAAAAUAAAUUAAAAAUCCUAGUCGAUCUCUCUUCCCAAUCUUCACUGUCAUUAGUCUCUCUCUUCUUUAAUAGUACUAGAACUGUCACCAAACAUAUGGCGUUUUAUGUAAAACUUAACAAACCAUUGGUUUGAUUAUUUUGCCUGUCCGUCUGUUGAAGUUGAUUUUUUUGUGAAUGUUUGGGGAAAUAGAUCUAUGACGUGUGGGUGGGUUUUUCGCUUUUUGAUUAUCUUGAUCUUCAUCUUUAUAAUCAAACCACACUUCAUUGUCAUUGAUCUCUUCUCGUCAUCCAAAUUUUCUUUAAGAACAAAAAAUACAAAAUGUCAUAUGACUGGCAUCAGUAUCUUUUUCUUGGAUUUUUGUCCAUCUCAUGCAGCAAAAUCUUUCUGAGUUACUCCCUUCUGAUAAUAAUUCAUUCAGUGAAACUUCCCGAAGAACAAUUAUGAAUAUCCAAGAAAGCAUAUUAGCCAUCUUUGAUUUUUUUUGGCGUUUUUCAGUGAGUGGUAUUUAGUAGUAUUGGCGUUUGUUUUUUAUGUUUGAUCAAAUGAAAGUUGCUGAGACGUAUCAUUUUAUAGGUUGUCUUUUUGGCGCCUAAGUUAGGCGGUGCAUUAUUAUAAUAAAGGAUUCGUCUUUUCAGUUACUGUUUGUAAUUAUUGUUUUUGAUAAGCUUUAUCUCUGAAGUCUGUAACACGUCCCAUCUUUCAAGUUUGGCGCUAAUAUAAUAAAUUUUCCCUAUCUUCAGUAUUACUGAAUUUGUAUUUACUGUUUCUAGUUACAUUUUCAAGUUUGCUUUUUUGGGGUUUUUUUAUAUUACGUUUUCAAAGUAAUUUUAUUGUAGUUUGGGAGUUUUUUGUGGCGUUUAAUGGGAUGAUAUCGUUUAAACAAGCAUUUUGGCUGUUUUGGCGUUUUUAUUAUAUAUGGCGUUUUUAUUAUAUAG
rnacentral:lncRNA from 1 species